AAACGCUGUCAGUGCGGCCGAGUGAGUGUACUCUUUCGGGUAAACUGACAGAUAAGCCUCACUGACUGCUACAGUACUAGCUCUGGACUUUAUAUUUAAGCAAAGUAAUAAAUAUUAUUUGAAUUACAUAUUGUAAUUCUGUUUCGAUAUAUUUUGGGUUUUUUGUUUAAAACGAGAGCAAAAUGCAGAGAGAGAAAUAUUUGCCAGAGCUGAUGGCAGAGAAAGAUACUCUGGACCCAUCUUUUGUUCAUGCUGCGCGUCUGCUGACUGAAGAAAUUGAACAGUUCCAGAACAACAGCUCAAAAAAAGAAGAGGAGAAGCAAUACCUUGAUGUUAUCAGCAACAAAAACAUUAAAUUAGCUGAAAGAGUGUUGAUUCCGGUCAAACAAUAUCCAAAGUUCAAUUUUGUGGGCAAGUUGCUCGGACCACGAGGUAAUUCGUUAAAGAGGUUACAGGAAGAAACAGGUGCAAAAAUGUCCAUCUUGGGCAAAGGAUCUAUGAGGGACAAAGCCAAGGAAGAAGAAUUGCGGAAAAGUGGAGAGGCCAAGUAUGCACAUUUAGGUGAUGACCUUCAUGUGCUUAUUGAAGUCUUUGUCCCAGCAGGAGAAGCCUAUUCCCGCAUGAGCCACGCACUAGAGGAGGUGAAGAAAUUCCUGGUCCCAGACUACAAUGAUGAGAUUCGUCAGGAGCAGUUGAGAGAGCUGUCAUACCUGAAUGGUUCCGAGGAUUCUAAUCGAGGGAGGGGAACACGUGGAAGGGUGAUUCGCUCUGCCCUCACACCAGCCACGAGGGGACGUGCUAGCACUGUCCUUCCUGGACGAGGAGUUCCAGUGCCCCGAGGAACAUCAGUGGCACGGGGGGUACUUUCUCUAUCCCAUGCAGUGAGGGGAACUUCAGCACCACGUAGCAGGGGAGGACCAGGAGCAUCUGGCUAUCGACCAGCACCUCCACCAGAACAAGAUACUUACGAUGAAUAUGGAUACGAUGAUGGCUAUGGUGGAGAAUAUGAUGAACAAAGCUAUGACACUUAUGAUAAUAGCUACGCCAGUCAGGUGGAGAGUGGCGCUGAGUAUUACGAUUACGGACAUGGAACAAGUGAAGAACUCUAUGAAAGUUAUGGUCAAGAAGAAUGGGUUUCAUCUCGGCCAAGUUUAAAGGCCCCAAUCCUGAGGUCAAGAGGGACUUACAGAGAACACCCCUAUGGUAGAUAUUGAAGGCAGCCCUUGUUGUACAAUGACUACAUGCGUGCCCAAUGGUCAGCUUAUGAACAACUACAAGACAAGUGUCUGGUGGUAGGUUAACCAGGAAAAAAAAAGCAGGACAAGCAUUCAGGCUCAGAUAUUUUUGCUAAUGGAUGCUCUUUCCCUAACUAAGUGGUUCCUGGCAGAUAGGAAGAACUGCAGAUGCUGGAGUCAAAGACAACGCUUCUUCGGAAGGACCUGAUCCAAAACGUAAACUUUCCUGCUUCUCUGCCGUGUCCCUCUAGCCGCACACUGUGUAGUUUCUGGCAGAUGAAAUGAUGGCCAAUUCUGAAAGUAUGGAAGAGAAUAUUUUCUCUAACUUUUGUUCCUUCAGUGAAUGAUUCAUGAGACUCAAGUUUAUUUCAUGUCUGCACAACUCCUGUGGUUACCCAUGAUGAGUACGGGGUAAGUUGGUAACGUGGCACUAAGGACAAAAGAUAGGUGUGUGGAAGUCAUGACUUGGCAUGAGUUGAUACUAAGUCAACAUAGGGAAUAUAAAAGGCUUUGAGGAUGAUUGGGUGUCAUGAGUUUGGCAUGGGGUGUGUAAGGAAUCACAGGUGUGGGUAUAGGGGCAUGGCGUGUAUGUGAGUUAGGUGGCGGGGAGCAGGCAUGACAAUCGGGAGUAUGGGGGUGAGGGCUGGAUCACUGUUUAUUUCUUCAAGUUUUUUAAUAAUAUCAUCAAAUGUCAUGGCAUUGAGAUAGGCCUCCUCAGAAGGCUACCUCCACACCUGGCAGGUUCACUUUCAUUGCAGCAUCACCUGGCUGAAUUCUCAGAGAACCCCACCAUCCCAAAAAGAGGAUCUUAACUUUCCAGCCACUUUCUCCUAAGGCAGAUUUGUGCACCCAGGAAAUAUCCUGACUCUGCACUCCUCACUGCCAGAGCAAACAUCGAUGUUUCCAAUUUAUUUUAUGGGAGCAUGGCUCCAGAGCUCUGCCUAUGAUGUUGAUGAUAGCACACACCCAACAUUGAUGGAGCCACUGAACAGCUGCCAGAAAUGGUGGAGCCUUCUCUUGUCCAAUUUUAACAUCACCAGAUGCAUAACACCAGUGUUAGCUAAUUCCUAUCUGCCAAGCACUGAAUGCUAUUCCCAAACUACCGAUGGUGAUUUUGGAAUUUUCAUUGUCGAGAGAAGUUAUGAAUGGAGCUCCAUACUAUGGAGUGUCAGGAACUGAUGCAGCCUUGACCUUAUAACAACCUAAAACAGCCUACGGCAGUUGGAAUGAGGAUUUUUCCCUAAGGAACUCCUUGACUGAACCUGUUCAAAAUAGACUCAGGUUUGUACAGCUCCUUUCAAGGAUGCCCUAAAUCAUUCAACAAGCAGUGAAGUGCCCCUGAGUUGUAGUUACAGGUGUCAGAUGGAAAACAGGGUCACCAGUUUUCAGGCAGUAAACUACCUCAGACAGCAGUGUGAUAAUGAUCAGAUGAUGUAUUUUUGGUGAUGUUGUUUUAGGAAUUAAUAUUGGCCAGGUCAGAGGCAAUAACUUGUCUUAUCAUUGUCAAAAUCAGGCCAAAGGAUUCUUCAUAUUCACCUGAGAGGAUCUCAGUUUAAUAUCCUAUCUGAAAGACAGCUGUCUAGCCCUGCAUGAGGAAUGUCAGCUUAGGUAUUCAUACUGAGGCCUUUGGAAUAUGAGUUGAUACCAACUUUCCAAUUCAGAGAUGAUAGUACCAAUGACAGAGUGUCAUGGCUAACACUGAGCUAGCAGUAAUUACCCUCUAACAGCCACAACCAUCUUCGAUCCUUGUUGGGAAAGGCUCCAGGCUCUGCAGGAAUUUCAUUUUUGACCCUCCCAAAACCACUUCUCUCUGAUACAGUUUUGUCCCUUGAAUAAGCAGAAUUUAUAUUAACUGUACCUUGCUCUGCCACCAGAUUUAUUGCCUGGCUAUCACCUUUUAAUUACCACUUUGAAGCCAUACCUUGCCGUCCCUUUCACAAGAUGGCAAGUUCUUCUUAGCGCUCCUUCAGUAUUGACUGCUGACCAAUUUUACUUUGACGAGACCCUGAUGUUCCAGGAUACAGGUAAGUGGGAAUGAGUUUGAGGGGAGGAUGGUGGGGCUGCAGGUGAACCCAUUGGGAGAGAUCUUGCUCCACCCAACACAGAAGGGGUCACAUGAAAAACAGCCACAACCUGUCUUAUUGCAUCUUAAAGAAAUGCCUGUCAAAAUGGUAAAUUCUGAUUGAGAUUUGUCUUUCCCACUUGCUCUCUGAGGGUGGAAGUGAAAGUGUGCUUAUGUAGAUAGAAUCAUCAUAGGAACCAGACAAGGCCAUUUAGCCCUUUGAAGUUGAUCCAUCAUUCAAUCAGAUCGUGGUUGAUCCAUAUCUCAGCUGCAUCUACCCAUUUUGGUUACAUAAUCAUUAUCUUAUAAAAAUCUAUCAAUUUCAGUUUCAGUUCACAGAUAACAUAGAAUAAAUGGUACAAUUCUAAGGAGUUCACUGGACCAUGCAGAGCUGGGGGUGCAUUACAGAGGUCAUUCAAGGGAGCAGGUCAAGUUAAGAAAGGAAUCUAUAAAGCUGGUGUUUUAUAAGUAAGGGUGUGGAAGACAAAACUAGGGAAGUAGUAUUAUGCUUGUAUAAAACAUUUGUGCAACCUCAGACUGGAAGACUGUGAAAUUCUUUAAAGGAACCGUGGUUAUGUAAAGCAGCAUCCCUCUGAUCUUCAGUACUUUAUAGGGUCUUACAUUCACUUAUAAUCCCUUGCCUUGUUAGCCCUUCCAAAGAGUACUACCUCUCAUUUUUCUAUGUUGAAUUCCAUUUGUCACAUUGCUGCAGGCUUUAGGUGAGGUGCUGUUUCAGUGAGCCAGCAGACAACACCAUGGACUGAAUGUCCUCUCUCUGUGCUGUAACUAUUCUAUACUGAUAUGUAUUUUUAAGAUCUUACAGCACAGAAAAAAGGCCAUCCUGGCCAGUGCAUUUCCACCACCAGGAAGGAUGAGGACAGCACGCCAUGUGAAAACCAUCACCUCCAAGACUUACAGCAUCUCAAUUCAGGCAGAUAUUGUCAGCCCUUAUUCAUCACUGGGUCAAUGUCUGAUUCAAAUUCCCUACCCACCCUUAGCACAGGAAGCAGUUGGGGAAGAAAGUCUACCCCACUUUAAAAGCAACGGAGAAUGAAAAUGAAAAUGUCAGUCUUUUUUAAAUAUCCUUGUCCCAAAAAGUCCUAUUCCAAGGUGGGAGCAGUAAAGCUAAUGCUGACAUUCCAAUGUUAAACUGUUGGAGCUGUUGCCUUUUGGUAGAGACUUUAGGCCCUGACUUCCCUUUCAGUUGAGCCUAAAAUAUCCCACUGGCACUAUUUUAAAAUAUAGCAGCAAACUUUUCCCUGGUGUUGGUCAAUAUUGAUCUAUCAUCAUUAUCACAUUGUAGUUUGUCGGAGCUUGCUGUGCAGAACGUUGGUUGGGAUGAAAUAUUAUUGGAAUAUUUAGGAAUGUUGAGUUGAUGUUAAAAUCAGGGCAACUAUGAUCUUAUUGAAUGGUGGAGCAGGCUCACAGGGCCAAGUGGCCUACUUUUGUUCCAUGUUCAUAUGUUGUCUGUUUUGUUUCUAACAUUACAGCAGUGGCUCCAUUUCAAAAGCACUUCACUGGCAAUAAAAUACUUCACGACAUUUGAAGGUUUUGAAAAGUGUUACAUCAUGCAAGUCUUUUUUCCUGCUUUUCUAGACAUUACUUAGAGAAUGUCAAAGUCUGGCAAUGACCAUUCAGAGUAGCAAAGCAGCAAACAAGUUUCCACAAGCAACAAGCAGUAUAAUUAUGAGCAGAUAGUCUGUUUUGUGGAUAAAUAUUGAUGAGGAUUCCAGAGAAAAUUCCCCAGCUUUUCUCAAAUAGUGCCCUGGGAUCUUUUCUAACACCCUGACUGGGCUGAUAGAGAUUCUGUUUAACAGCUCAUCUGAAAACAGUACCUCUGACAAAGCAGUAUUCUCAGUAUUGCAUUGGCCCAAUUAUGUGGAUCAGGCUGUAGAGUAUAUCCUGAACUGGUCGCCUCUUGAUUGAAAGAUUGAAGCCAAAACUAGCACUCAUUGACUGUUGCACUGAAAUAAUAUUUCCAACUUUCUGAUUUACAUUGUGGAUCCCUCUGUCCAUCUCGACACCAUUUGAAGUUCCUUCCAAAUCAACAAAACUCUUAUAAGAUACAACAUGAUGAAUAUGUUGGUAAAAAGGAUCCCCACAGACAUGUCUAACCUCACAGUAACAAGCCAUGGGAUGGCAGACACUUGCAGCUCCAGUGACAUGAUGAUUAUUAUGAUCUGUUACCCAUCUUUGCCACACUCAGUGUUAUUCCACAUAAAAGCUUGCCAGACAGAUUAAAUCAAUCAUUACAUCUAGAUGUUCUGCUGAUAUUCACAAUAGUAACUUGAGAUUAUAGAGUAGCUUUAAUGCAGUGAAACACCUGAAGACACUGAGCCACAUAGGAGAUACUAGGCUGAUGAUGGAGUUGGGAACCUCGCAAUCUGGCAAACUGACCUCAGCAGAGCCUCAUCAAGUGGAAUCAUUACUCAUGGGGGAGGUCAUUUAGCCCAUCAUGCCUGUGCUCUGUGAAAGAGCAUCCAGCUGAAUCCCCUAUACUACAAAUAUCUCCUCUUCAGAUAACUAUUCAAUUCACUUUUGAAAGUUAUAAAGGUAACUUGCAUAUCCAGAUAAUAAUUAACUUCAUUGAAGCUUUUUGUCUUAUAUCCAUCUGGGAAAUUGGCAAGAAAUACAAAUGUAAAGGAAAGCAAGAUUUAUACUGUGCGAGGACAGACUGCUGAUAUAUUGGCAAGUGGCCUAAUCAAAAAUAGAAUGUUGACCCUUAUUUCAAGGAGUCUAAGGUUAGGAUAGUCUUACUACAACUGCACAAAGUGCUGGUGAAUUAUUUUUAGUUGUCAUCUGUACUCUAAUACAAAAAUACAAGAAUAGAGUGAAAAGUGUACAAUGUCGCCACGCACGACACCAUUUUACCUACAAAGUAACUAAUUACAAAUCUUAGGUACUAAAAUAGAUUAGGUACAAAACUAGAGAAGUAAUAAAAGGCUAAAGUUCUAUACUGCAGUUCUUCAUAGCAUAAAAGAGUAAAAUGAAAUAAAGUUAAAAGAUAAUCUUUAGUCUACAGCACACAUUCGCUCCACAUUGGGGCUUUUCCACACGUGGUCUUACUCCCCCACCCCCCUUCCCGACUGGGUCCAUGUGCAGUUUUGGUCCCCUUGUAAAAAGAAACUUAUUAUUUCAUUGGAGGCGGUUCAGAGAAAAUUCAUUAGGAUGAUCCCUAGCAUGGAGAGAUUGCCUUAUGAGCAAAGGUUAAACAGGUUGAGAUUCUACUCAGUGGACUUUAGAAAAAUAAGAAUGAAAAAUGAUCUCAUUGAAACAUGUAGGAUUCUUAAGGUGCUUGACAGGGUAAAUGCUGAGUGGAUAUUUCCCUUCAUGGGAGAAUCUGGGUCCAAUUCAACACUGAGAUGGGGAGGAAUUUCUUUCCUUAGAAGGUUGAGAAUCUUUGGAACUCCUUAGCACAGAGAGAUGUGGCGGCAGAGUCCUUAUGUAUAUUUAAGGAUGAGAUGGAUAAAUUCUUGAGCAGUUAGGGAAUGAAGGGCUAUGGGGGAAAAGCAGGAAAGUGGAUGUGAAGCAUGUCAGAUCAGCCUUGAUCUCAUUGAACUGCAACCUACUCCUGUUCCUGUUUCUUAUGUUCUUACAGUCUAAAAGGAUCAUGUUUUCCAAAGAGUGAACAAGGCCAAAUGCUGCACUUUCCAAAAAGAUCAAGAGGUGUUGGUGAGGAAUUGCACGACUGGCGAAAAUUGGGUACCAGCCAUCAUUGUAGCACAAACUGGACCACAUUCCUGCUGUUUCUUUGACUGACAUGGAUACAAUGGGCUGAAGAGUCUUCUUCUGUGCUGUGGAUCUAUAUGACUCAUGCAACACACAGAUGACAGAUGAGAUAGCAUGGAAAAGACAUGUAGAUCAGCUCUUGGCAACCAGAACAAAUAGGCCAGGGACUGCAUCAAUUAAAGAUCCAAAAAUAACCGUGCCAAAUAGAGGCCUAGAUAUACCUGACGUCAAAGCAGUAACUGGAGCAUCUGAAGAAAAUAGUACCUCAGUGGAGAGUCCCACAGCAUUGUGCGAAAACACUAAGAGAGUUAGGUUUAUUUAAUUUUUAGAUUUAGAUUUAUUUAAUACUGUCACUUGCACCUAGGUACAGUAGAAAGUGGAUAAUGUUGCCACGCUCUGGCACCAUCUUGGAUUACAGAAUAUGUUACUGAAUAAAUUGUAUAAAUGGAAAAAUACUGAAUAAAUUAAUAUUAAAUUGAUAUUGCUAAAAAUGAAGCAGCUUUAAAAGUUCAUCUUUCCCUCUCCGCUCCUCCAGUCACUGCCAUCCAAUAUCAUCCCCAGGGUCCUGGCAAUGUGCUCCUUUUCUGUUGCCACUGGUGUUGUUGUUUCUGUGUCUGCCGCUUUCGAGAUGGAGACAGUCAAGCUGCACAGGUUCCACACCUCCUCCGAUGCUGGACAUUGACUGAUGGGUCCUGAGUCUGAGUUGACCAAUGGGGUCAACUGGCUCCAAGUCGACCAACAGGGUCCAGGCUUGUCUUCCGAUGCUGCCAUUCAAGAUAGAGUGGUGAUGUAGAUACGUGAGGCUCUGGACUCCCACUGGAGGACUUCAGGAGGAGGAUCCAGAGAAACUAAAACCAGGGGAGAAUGUUACUGUGCUGGAGAGACAACGUUGAAGCCAUGUGGAUGUGGCAGAACCUGAAACAUGAAACAUAAACCAUUAGUGGUUGAGCCCCAUGCUCAGGAGCCAAAUACUACCAAACCUACCAGACCAAGAGCAAAACCAACACAAAAAAUAAACAGCUACAAGAGGUGCACUGACAGCCGCACAGGAGUCAACAUUCUCAGAUUGAAGCGACAACUUUCUAGGAUUGAGUUGAGAAGGAGUUUCUUCAAAGGGUGCUGAAUCUGUGGGACUCAUUGCCACAGAAGGCUGUGGAGACCAAUUCACUGAGUGUAUUUAAGACAGAGCUAGUUAAGUUCUUGAUUGGUUAGGGGAUCAAGUCUUACGGGCGAAAGGCAGGAGAAAGGCUUGAGAAACGUAUCAGUCAUGAUCGAAUGAUGGAACAGACUCGAUGGGCCAAAUGGCCUAAUUCUGCCCCUAUAUCUUAUGCUCUUAUCCUCUGGAUUGUCUUACUUGCUGAUUGUUAUAUGUAUGAUUGUAAAUAUUGAUGAAUGAUUGUGAAUGUUUUCAUUGUAGGAACCUGUGAUGAAAGGGAGAAGGAAUGUUGUAUAUUUUCAUAAAGAUGCUGGGCUGUCACUUUAAGAAUCUGAUCACAUGAUCUAAAGAUGAUAUCAUUGGUAAUUUUGAGCCGGAAACUAUUCAGUCUAACGUUAUCGUCUGUAAACAUCUCCUUGGUAAAGCUCCUGCUAUCAAACACUCUGGCCUCUUGAUCCUUCUUGGAGCAUAACGAUUUUUUUUAAUCUAAGCUUGUUUUUUUUAAAUCGACUUUGCUGAACUAAAAUGGCUGCUGCCAAUCACACAAUUGACAAGUUGGCCACAGUCUAGAAAUUUCCUACAAUAAUUACAGACAAAGCGAAAUAGAUGACCCUGUUGGAAUUUCUCACCCGCUAACUGCAUGAACACUGCAAG